CGGCUUUAUAUACCCCCCUUCAGUUACUCCUUCCAAACACCCUGUGAGAAUGGGGACUGGCCCUUUAAAAAAAAAAAAAAGAAAGAAAGGAAAAAAAUGAGGAAAUUAACACUCAGAGGAGUUAAAUAACUUGUUCUCAUAUAAAACAGACUCCGUGGUAGGACAGAAUUAAAACCUACUCUAACUUACAGCUCAUGCUCAACUUUUUUUCAUAAAAGGGAAUCCCGGGGGCCACACUGUGAGAGGCCUGGCGUACAUCAGGGACUACAAGUCCGUGGGCAAGACCACAGAGAGGGCAAACAAGCGGUGAAAUGAAAUGAGACAGGAAUCAGAAGAUGAUGUGCUUCUAACUAGGUGGGCAAGUCACUUCACCUUUCCAAGUCUGUUUCCUCACCUGAGAGAUGGAGCCAAUCUAAGAAGAUAACGCAGACAAACUACUUGGCACAUAAGAGGAGCUAAGAUGUCAUUUCUCUCAAUGUGACUUCUUACAAACAUAGACAAGAUGACCUCUCCUUCAUAGAGUUUCUGUGAGAGCAGAGGGCCUGAAGGGCAGAAACUUCCUGGUAAACUCUAAUUUGCUAUAUAAGAGGUUGCACAAUGGGGCCCCCUGUCCAAGUCUAGCCCCAGACAUGUUUUGUUUGGCCAUAUAUAUUUUGUGAACUAGGGCCGGGCGCCAUGGCUCACCCAACAGUACCAAUUCUAAAUGUUGUACCUUUCUCCAUCUCCACGUACAUCCUGGCUUAGGGUUUGAAAUGGUUGCCAUGACUCGGUGGUUCUCAAUUAGGCAAGAUUUUGUCCCCCAGGGGACAUCUGGCAAUGUCUGCAGACAUUUUGGCUGUCACAACUGGGCAGAGUUGGGAGGGGGGUGCUACUGGCAUCUAGUGGAUAGAGGCCAAGUAUGCUCCUAACAUCCUGCAAUGCACAGGACAGCGCUCACAACAAAGACUCAUCAGACUCCAAACGUCAGUAGUGCCGAGGCUGAGAAACUGUACCAGAACCUGGAAGCUUACUAGUGGGAAAGCUAAGGGAGCUUUAGAACCACCCUGCUCCGGACUAUAAGUGAAGGUUUAUUCCAAGCAGCAACUGUGCUCUCUGGGUGCCACACAGCCCUCCAGCAUUGGCUGUGUGAGCCUGGACAGUGACUGACUUUUAUACAAGCCUUAGAUAGGCGUCAGCUGUAAAAUGAGGAUAACAGAAAUAUCUGCCUUCCAAGACUGUGAAAGUGAUGUGAGAUUGUGUACAUAAAGUGUUUAUUUUUAUGUUUAUUUUUGUUUUUAUUUUUAUUCUUGAGAUGGAGUCUCGCUCUGUCACCCAGGCUGGAGUGCAGUGGCACAAUCUUGGCUCACUGCAGUCCCUGCCUCCCAGGUUCAGGAGAUUCUCCUGCCUCAGCCUCCCUAGUAGCUGGGAAUACAGGCACGCGCCAUCACACCCGGUUAAUUUUUGUAUUUUUAGUAGAGACGGGGUUUCGCCGUGUUGGCCAGGCUGGUGUCGAACUCCUGGGCUCAAGUGAUCUGCCCGCCUCAGCCUCCCAAAGUGCUGAGAUUACAGGCCGGAGCCACUGCGCCCGGCCCAUAAUGUGUUUAGAGUGCUCCCGUGGCCAGCACACUACAAACACAAAAUGCAUGAAAAACAAACAGCCAACUGAAAUGCCUUCUGCACUGCAGCAGUCAUCAUGGCCGUAAGCUGUGCAGCAGCAGGCCUGAAGAAGCAUCCAGCAGAGAGAGGAGUCUUCCCAGCAGCGGGGCACUGCCACUUAGGAGGCAAGGAGAGCUGAGGCAGAUCAGGUUCUGUGAGAAGGGGUAUCAACAACUGAGCAGAGCUGCUUGGGAUUACCUGUAUGCCCAAAGAUGUCCUGGAUGAAGGCACUGACCUCCCAAGCAAAGGCAAGGGAAGGAGGGACCCAGGUACCAGAGACUCUCAGUGCAGCAUUUGGUGGGAGGAAGGCAAACACUAUCAAAGAAAAGGAUUCGAAACAGCAGCAGACUAAACUGCAACCCCCUCCAACAUAUCCUUUUAAUAACAUGGACAACGACAACUGAAAAAUGCAUGUUCAGGGGCCUCAAACAGGCCCCCAAAACGCCCCCAAAAGCCGUUAAUGACCAGAACCAAAUAAAGUUACUAAUAACCAAACUGGGAAGUACACAGCCCCCACAAAAGCCCCCACAAGACGUGAAGGCUGCAUGUGCAGUGGAACUUCUGUUUCCAAACAGAACCACCCGGCAUCUGCCCCAGGCCACGUCAGCCCCACCCCACCCCCAAUCCCAUGCCAUACUCAUGCUCACAAGUCACCAGUGGCUCAACUUGGAAUUUCCAGACUUAUGUUUUCUAAAACUUUGAGCAGAGUUUAAAAAUUACCAGAGAUUAGCCUGGGUGACAUGGCAAAACCCUGUCUCUACCAAAAAAGUGCAAAAAUUAGCCAGGCAUGGUGGCACGCGCCUGUCGUCCCAGCUACUUGGGGGGCUGAGGCAGGAAGAUCGCUUGAACCGGGAGGCAGAGGUUGCAGUGAGCUGAGAUCCCACCACUGCACUCCAGCCUGGGCAACAGAGUAAGACCCUGUCUCAAAAAAAAGAAAAAAAAAAAAAAUUACCAUAGGUUAAUGUUGACAACAAAUUUGAGAGGUUUAUUUUAAAAAGCUUUUCACCCUAACCCUAACCGGGAGACCCCUGCAGCAGGCAGAGACCCUCACUCUGACCUUUAGACCAAGACAACUCACACUCCUCAGUCCAAAUUACAACAGGCACAGGACUUCACUUUACUUGUUAGCAACUCUCAACUUUUUAAAAAAUGUGUUCAAGAGUUCACCAAAAUGUUAACAAAAGGAUUGAUAAUUCUUCUGCAAACUGCUUUUUAAACAAUUUUUAUGUAAGGCCUGGCACUGUGGCUCAUGCCUGUAAUCCCAGUGCUUUGGGAGGCCGAGG
rnacentral:lncRNA from 1 species